GACGCUUGAAGAUAUGGAGGCGACAAAUCUGUGCCUAUCCCCUCUUGGUGAUAACUCUAGCCGAGCCCCUCUUGGUGACAUUCCUAAUCUUGAGCAUCCUUCCCAAAUGACUCCAGUGCCCGUGCCAGAAAUACAAAAAUUAUAUACAAAUCAGAACGAACAUCACAACAUGUUCUUAAACACAAUGGUGUUAGCACACAAAAAUCUAGCUAACAACAGGAACUACGGUUUUAACCCAGGCUAUUAACUAAGGUAAGGGAGAGAAUUUAACUGGAAAUUACCUCUUGGUGCAAGUAGUACAUGUGCUUUCAAGAGGAGCCAACGAUGCGGCCAACCAUGCUUAAAAUGAUACACAGUGCAAAUCCCACGCCUCUGGAUUCCUCUUACUUCAUCAGCUCACUUGAGUAAUGCCCUGCUUGUUUAGCAAAUAAAUUUUAGUUGUGUCUGGAAGAUGAUACAUAGCUGUCUAUUAUAUCAUGAAGAGCAUGGCUCCAAUGUAUUUCAGGUACUUAUGUCUAGCUUCAACAGAUGGCAUCUCUAAUACUUCUGAA